CAGCUCACAAGGGAACAGAGUGCGAGGAAAAGAAAUCUGGCGACGCAUGCGCAGCUGUCCCGUGUACCGAAAAGCGGACCAUCUCCCUCCCGAGACUGGCGCCCCUUCACACACAGAUGAGACUCAACUCGGAGCGUUCCCGUGACCGUGAGCGCACCGGUUUGAGGACCCCCAAACGGAAGGCGGCUCACUGCGGCGUGCAGCAGCAGCCAUUUGGUAGCAGCUCUCCCUAGCGCCGAGGGUGUGCACUGCAACAAGGCGACGUGACCAUGCAGCAAAACUAGCCAUUGAGUAAUCUCCAAGCAGAUCCUAUGGUAGCAUAAGAUAGUAUCAAAAGCUGGAAGAGGUGUGAAGCCGGCUUAGGAAAGUGUUCCUCUACCAGGGACAAUGCAAAUGGACACCUCUUGACUGACUACACCCCUUGGUUAGUUUGGUACUAUCUUAUGCCAUCGUAGGAUCUGCUUGGAGAUUACCAUUGCGUAGCCUCCACCAGGCUCCACAGGUCGCUGGGAAAAUAGUUGAAAUUGGCACUAUAAUGCAGAAAACACGCCAGAUCAGAGGAGUUAAAUGGCCGAGGAGUACAGUUUGUGACCUGUGGAGCCUGGUAGAGGCUAGCCAUUUAGUAGUGUCAAUUGAAUUUGGGGAGUUUGGAAAUAAUGAAAACGUAAUCUAUCGGAAUGAAUUUUGACCAAAUAAUCGACAUCACAUUGCCAAAGCGAAAUGUACCAGGGCCAGUUUUCUGUCUGGAAAGUACAAGUAUAUUUUUGGUCGUUUUUAAACUAACUUAAAGGAUAUUCUGCCAGAAAAGCACAGACAAAUUUAUUCUAAGGAGUUAAUACAACAUGGCAGCUACGUGUAUUUUAACUUUAUAUGGACGAGGUAAAAUAUAGGCACCCUGAAGAAUUGCAAAUAUUAAGGGAGAAGAAACUUCGCUUUUGUAUUUGUGGGGUUUUAUUGUCGCUCUGCUACAGAUAAACCACUUUAAAUGUGAUUCGCAUGAAGGAUCAUCUUUAAGAACAAUCGACAUUGUAAAA